rnacentral:rRNA from 1 species
UAGGGAAUCUUCCACAAUGGGCGAAAGCCUGAUGGAGCAACGCCGCGUGUGUGAUGAAGGCUUUAGGGUCGUAAAGCACUGUUGUAUGGGAAGAAAUGCUAGAAUAGGGAAUGAUUCUAGUUCGACGGUACCAUACCAGAAAGGGACGGCUAAAUACGUGCCAGCAGCCGCGGUAAUACGUAUGUCCCGAGCGUUAUCCGGAUUUAUUGGGCGUAAAGCGAGCGCAGACGGUUGAUUAAGUCUGAUGUGAAAGCCCGGAGCUCAACUCCGGAAUGGCAUUGGAAACUGGUUAACUUGAGUGUUGUAGAGGUAAGUGGAACUCCAUGUGUAGCGGUGGAAUGCGUAGAUAUAUGGAAGAACACCAGUGGCGAAGGCGGCUUACUGGACAACAACUGACGUUGAGGCUCGAAAGUGUGGGUAGCAAACAGGAUUAGAUACCCUGGUAGUCCACACCGUAACGAUGAAUACUAGGUGUUAGGAGGUUUCCGCCUCUUAGUGCCGAAGCUAACGCAUUAAGUAUUCCGCCUGGGGAGUACGACCGCAAGGUU